rnacentral:rRNA from 1 species
UCAUCUUCGGGGGUAGAGCACUGUUUCGGCUAGGGGGUCAUCCCGACUUACCAACCCGAUGCAAACUACGAAUACCGAAGAAUGUUAUCACGGGAGACACACGGCGGGUGCUAACGUCCGUCGUGAAGAGGGAAACAACCCAGACCGCCAGCUAAGGUCCCAAAGUCAUGGUUAAGUGGGAAACGAUGUGGGAAGGCACAGACAGCCAGGAUGUUGGCUUAGAAGCAGCCAUCAUUUAAAGAAAGCGUAAUAGCUCACUGGUCGAGUCGGCCUGCGCGGAAGAUGUAACGGGGCUAAACCAUGCACCGAAGCUGCGGCAGCGACACUAUGUGUUGUUGGGUAGGGGAGCGUUCUGUAAGCCUGCGAAGGUGUGCUGUGAGGCAUGCUGGAGGUAUCAGAAGUGCGAAUGCUGACAUAAGUAACGAUAAAGCGGGUGAAAAGCCCGCUCGCCGGAAGACCAAGGGUUCCUGUCCAACGUUAAUCGGGGCAGGGUGAGUCGACCCCUAAGGCGAGGCCGAAAGGCGUAGUCGAUGGGAAACAGGUUAAUAUUCCUGUACUUGGUGUUACUGCGAAGGGGGGACGGAGAAGGCUAUGUUAGCCGGGCGACGGUUGUCCCGGUUUAAGCAUGUAGGCUGGUUGUCCAGGCAAAUCCGGAUAAUCAAGGCUGAGGUGUGAUGACGAGGCACUACGGUGCUGAAGUAACAAAUGCCCUGCUUCCAGGAAAAGCCUCUAAGCAUCAGGUAACAUCAAAUCGUACCCCAAACCGACACAGGUGGUCAGGUAGAGAAUACCAAGGCGCUUGAGAGAACUCGGGUGAAGGAACUAGGCAAAAUGGUGCCGUAACUUCGGGAGAAGGCACGCUGGUGUGUAGGUGAAGUCCCUGCGGAUGGAGCUGAGACCAGUCGAAGAUACCAGCUGGCUGCAACUGUUUAUUAAAAACACAGCACUGUGCAAACACGAAAGUGGACGUAUACGGUGUGACGCCUGCCCGGUGCCGGAAGGUUAAUUGAUGGGGUUAUCCGUAAGGAGAAGCUCUUGAUCGAAGCCCCGGUAAACGGCGGCCGUAACUAUAACGGUCCUAAGGUAGCGAAAUUCCUUGUCGGGUAAGUUCCGACCUGCACGAAUGGCGUAAUGAUGGCCAGGCUGUCUCCACCCGAGACUCAGUGAAAUUGAACUCGCUGUGAAGAUGCAGUGUACCCGCGGCAAGACGGAAAGACCCCGUGAACCUUUACUAUAGCUUGACACUGAACAUUGAGCCUUGAUGUGUAGGAUAGGUGGGAGGCUUUGAAGCGUGGACGCCAGUCUGCGUGGAGCCAACCUUGAAAUACCACCCUUUAAUGUUUGAUGUUCUAACGUUGGCCCCUGACCGGGGUUGCGGACAGUGUCUGGUGGGUAGUUUGACUGGGGCGGUCUCCUCCCAAAGCGUAACGGAGGAGCACGAAGGUUAGCUAAUCCUGGUCGGACAUCAGGAGGUUAGUGCAAUGGCAUAAGCUAGCUUGACUGCGAGCGUGACGGCGCGAGCAGGUGCGAAAGCAGGUCAUAGUGAUCCGGUGGUUCUGAAUGGAAGGGCCAUCGCUCAACGGAUAAAAGGUACUCCGGGGAUAACAGGCUGAUACCGCCCAAGAGUUCAUAUCGACGGCGGUGUUUGGCACCUCGAUGUCGGCUCAUCACAUCCUGGGGCUGAAGUAGGUCCCAAGGGUAUGGCUGUUCGCCAUUUAAAGUGGUACGCGAGCUGGGUUUAGAACGUCGUGAGACAGUUCGGUCCCUAUCUGCCGUGGGCGCUGGAGAAUUGAGGGGGGCUGCUCCUAGUACGAGAGGACCGGAGUGGACGCAUCACUGGUGUUCGGGUUGUCAUGCCAAUGGCACUGCCCGGUAGCUAAAUGCGGAAGAGAUAAGUGCUGAAAGCAUCUAAGCACGAAACUUGCCCCGAGAUGAGUUCUCCCUGAGACUUUAAGUCUCCUGAAGGAACGUUGAAGACGACGACGUUGAUAGGCCGGGUGUGUAAGCGCAGCGAUGCGUUGAGCUAACCGGUACUAAUGAACCGUGAGGCUUAACCUU